rnacentral:rRNA from 1 species
CCUACGGGAGGCAGCAGUAAGGAAUCUUCCACAAUGGACGAAAGUCUGAUGGAGCAACGCCGCGUGCAGGAUGAAGGCUUUCGGGUCGUAAACUGCUUUUAUAUGGGAAGAUUAUGACGGUACCAUAUGAAUAAGGACCGGCUAACUACGUGCCAGCAGCCGCGGUAAUACGUAGGGUCCAAGCGAUAUCCGGAAUUACUGGGCGUAAAGCGUGUGUAGGUGGAUUAAUAAGUGUGAUGCGAAAUCCGGCGGCUCAACCGUUUGGACUGUGUCGCAUACUGUUAGUCUAGAGGACGGCAGAGGUAAGUGGAAUUACGGGUGUAGCAGUGAAAUGCGUAGAUAUCCGUAGGAACACCAAUGGCGAAGGCAGCUUACUGGGCCACACCUGACACUGAGACGCGAAAGCGUGGGGAGCGAACAGGAUUAGAUACCCUGGUAGUCCACGCCGUAAACGAUGCAUACUAUUAGUAUGGGGUAUCGACCCCCUGUGCUGAGAAGCUAACGCGAUAAGUAUGCCGCCUGGGGAGUACGAGCGCAAGCUUAAAACUUAAAUGAAUUGACGGCUGAGACGUGCGACGACGACGACGAGGGAGGAGG